CAUAUAAAUAAUGAUGUGGAUAUCUGUUCCUUCAAUUGCUGCUUUUGUGCAAACAGUUAAUUUGAAGUAAAUGCAAUAUACUAAUGAAAAUCUUUUAUUUAUCUUACAGGUGACUUAGUUACAAAUGUUUUCAAGGGACCCAACAAACAAAUACUUUGUCAACUGUCAAUGCUUGAAAGAAAAAUGGCUCAAGGUACCUUGGAAGCAAUAACUUGAGCGGGGAGCUACCCGCAAACAUCAUAACUAACACGCUUUUCUUAGAUAUCUCGUUCAAUCAAAUCUCUGGAACUAUACCUGCCAAUAAGUCAUAUAUUUCACUAAAUGCUGUUGGCACUUUGAUCACUAGCGAAAAAAGGUCACGUCCGCGCAGUGCUUGCUUGACGAAAAAUUCGGUGUGCACUAAGAAAGCUUUAUCAACUUCAUUUUCGAUCAAAUGUGGUGGAAAUCAAAUAGUAACUGUGGAUGGGUUUCAGUUUGAUGAUGAUUCGGAGAUGCUAAGCCCAGCGUCGUUCUACAUGAGCUCGAACAAGCAGUGGGCAGUGAGCAGUUCUGGAAUAUUCAUUAACAACCCGAAUGGACAGAACUAUACAGCUCAUUCGUUUUCUCAGAUCCCGAACACUUAGACUCUGAACUCUACAAAACAGUCCGGAUAUCCCCGAGCUCAUUGAGGUAUUAUGGUGUUGGGUUAAAGAAAGGCAUAUACCGAGUCGAGCUUCAUUUUGCUGAGAUACAAAUGGACGAUAUUAAGGACUCUUGGAAAGGCCUUGGGAGGCGCUAUUUCGACGUUUCCAUUCAGGUAU